rnacentral:rRNA from 1 species
GUAGGGAAUCUUCCACAAUGGGCGCAAGCCUGAUGGAGCAAUACCGCGUGAGUGAAGAAGGGUUUCGGCUCGUAAAACUCUGUUGUUGGAGAAGAACGUAUGUGAUAGUAACUGAUCAUGUAGUGACGGUAUCCAACCAGAAAGCCACGGCUAACUACGUGCCAGCAGCCGCGGUAAUACGUAGGUGGCAAGCGUUAUCCGGAUUUAUUGGGCGUAAAGCGAGCGCAGGCGGUUUUUUAAGUCUGAUGUGAAAGCCCUUGGCUCAACCAAGGAAGUGCAUCGGAAACUGGAGAACUUGAGUGCAGAAGAGGACAGUGGAACUCCAUGUGUAGCGGUGAAAUGCGUAGAUAUAUGGAAGAACACCAGUGGCGAAGGCGGCUGUCUGGUCUGUAACUGACGCUGAGGCUCGAAAGCAUGGGUAGCGAACAGGAUUAGAAACCCCUGUAGUCC